AUUGAACGCUGGCGGCAGGCCUAACACAUGCAAGUCGAGCGAGCGGCGGACGGGUGAGUAAUGUAUGGGGAUCUGCCUGAUGGAGGGGGAUCAAUACUGGAAACGGUCGCUAAUACCGCAUAACAUCAGAUGAACCCAUAUGGGAUUAGCUUGUAGGUAAUGUAACGGCUUACCUAGGCGACGAUCCCUAGAUGGUCUGAGAGGAUGAUCAGACACACUGGGACUGAGACACGGCCCAGAGUCCUACGGGAGGCAGCAGUGGGGAAUAUUGCACAAUGGGUGCAAGCCUGAUGUAGCCAUGCCGCGGGUAUGAAGAAGGCCUUCGGGUUGUAAAGUACUUUCAGUCGGGAGGCGUUACCGACAGAAGAAGCACCGGCUAACUCCGUGCCAGCAGCCGCGGUAAUAC
rnacentral:rRNA from 1 species